rnacentral:rRNA from 1 species
AUGCAGCAGCAGCAGCAGCCGCCGCCUCCGAGGAGGAUGGUCGCGUCGAAGAAGCUCAUGAAAGUCGGGCCAUGGGGCGGCACCGGGGGCAACACGUGGGACGACGGCGGGCACACCGGGAUCCGCGGCGUCACACUGUCGUACGACCACCGCUGCGUCGUCUUCAUCGCCGUGGAGUACGACAGGAGCGGCCUCGCCGUCCCCGGCGAGCGGCACGGCGGCGCCGGCGGCAACCACACCACCCAGAUCAAGCUGAGCUUCCCGGACGAGCACCUGACGGCCGUGAGCGGCCGCUACGGCGCGGUGGCUCCCGGUGGCUCGCCAGUGAUCCGGUCGCUGGCGUUCAGGACGGAGCGCGCGGCGUACGGGCCGUUCGGCGCCGCCGAGGGCACGCCGUUCGAGUUCGCGGUGGAGGGCGGCGUGAUCGUGGGGUUCUGCGGGCGGAGCGGCUGGCAGCUGGACGCCGUCGGGAUGUACGUGGCGCCGCUGCGGCCGGAGAAGCUGUACGACAAGGUGCAUCACCUGGGGCUCAUGGCCUACCGCUCGGUCAUGCACCGGCUCGGGCCGGCGCCGGCACCGCCACAGGACGAGCUGCCGGAGGCGAGAGUUCAGCAUCAGCGUCAGAACGGCAGUGUGGUUCAGACAAGUCGCAAGAAUUACUAA